CCUGAGUGACAAAGGUUCCAAAGAGUCCAGGGUCCCCAAAAAGGCUACUAAAAGGGGCGAGGCUUGUGGGAGGAGCAGAGUGGGGCCACAGAGAACCCAGGGCUUGAAAUAAGACCCUGAGACUCCAAGGGUCUUCACACCUACGGGCCCAGGUCUGGCACUGUGUCCAACAGUGCUCACCGAAGUGUUUUGUGUUUUUUGCCUCUUUCCUUUUUGUUAUUGUUGUUGUUGUUGUUGUUUUAUUAACAGGACCUCUCUGUGUAGUUCUGGCCCGCCUUGAACUCGCUGUGUGGCCCAGGCUGGCGAUGAACACGUGAUCAUCCAGCCUCAGAUCCUGAGUACAGACGUGCACCAUCACACUCAACUAAGGUUUUAAAAGGCCAAACCACUGUGGAAGAAAGGGGUAGAAAACUGGAAGGCCAGAGGCUCUCACAAUGGGAAAAGAGGGUCCAUUUCACAAGGAAAACAGCAACAUGACUUCACCAGCACAUAAAGCCGAGAAUGUUUCAACAGAAGAGGAAACAGCCUAGGGGAAAGUUAUACAAGGAGUAAGUGGAAGCCCAGAUCCUAGAGACUGGAGCUGCGGUCCUCCUCUGGAGGAGGGACCUGCCUGCACACUGCGGAAGGACGGCAGACCACAUCUGCACAGAAGAAAGCACUGGGCAGACAUGUGGCUAAGCUCUCUGGGAAGAGAGCUCCAUGUGUGGAUCUUGCACCUUUCAUCGUGAACAGGGAGGAGAGAAACAGAUGAGGUGUCUUUAGCAGGAGUAAGAAACAAGCCAUCCAGGAGAAGGACCACCACCAUACACACAAACUAGUGUUGGGUGGAUAGGGCUGGGAAAUGCGGUGAAGAUGAAGUCAGAACUAGUGAGGACCCAGCCCAGCCUGACCUACCUCCAUUAUCCCCCAGCUCAUUCCUGAAUGUCCUCCUGAGGGUCCCAGAAUUCCAGUUUGUAACACUAAGAGUGUUAAGGUGGCUUCAAGCGUGAGAGGACAGUUCACUGUAUAGCAAAUAUGGCCAAGGUCAAACCCAAGUUGAAGCCAGCACUUCAGGCACUCCUGCUCCCCCAAGAUGUGGCCUAGAGCAGGUGCUGCACAAAGGGCUUGUUGCCACAAAGGGGUCCAACUGCCACCAAGAAAAAAAAAAGGUCCCUGUUUAGUUUUUCCCUGGCUGAUUGUGUGGUCCUUGUGGAGCAUUCCCCAGAGCAGCUGCCAGCGCUCAGCAUGGGAUCUGGCCCAACCCCGCUCUGCCCUGGGAGUGCAAUCAGCCUACGGGCUAGGAAGGUCCCUUGGAAGGAACUCCUAGCUAGGAGCAGAAUUCCUGCCAUUUGUGCCUCUGCAGAGCCACUGUAAGAGAAGCAGGCUAGAAAAUGUUCGGAUGGGGAGAGAGAAGUACACGGAGAUGAAAAGCCCAGCCAAGCCAUGCAGCAAGAGGGCAGAGACCUGGCUUCUCAAGCCACAGUGAUGGCUGCACCGGAAGUCUUUGCCUCUCCUGACCCACCCACACCCUUCUCAGCCCUGCUCUGAGCCCCUGAAGUCUCCCUGUGUAGACAGCAGAAAGAGCUGAAGGGAGAGAAAAGAGAGUAGGGACAAACUCCCUGCCUGUGAGGUCACUGCAGCCUAUUUCCCUCCCUCCACCCACGGUCACUGUGUCCUUUGGGGUGGUCCCUUCUAUACUAUUCUUGUUCCCUGGAGCAUUCCUCCUUUGUGACUUCACCCACUGAAGCCACCCAGGAAACAAUGCUCAAUGUUCCAUCCUAGAGUCUUAACCUCUUAGGAAGCAAGGACAGCAGGCCUGGCCAGCCCAGAGGACUCUGUCCACAGUGUACCUGAGGUCACUGCUGCUUCAUAUCCUGCAGAGAUGCAGAAGGCAGCCUCAGAGGCACUGGGCGCUCCUAGCACCAUAGAUGAUACUGCCAUCCUCAAGCACUGAGGCUACAUCAUGGAGGCCUGCCACGGUCCUCUAGGUGGAAGACAGCAAAGAGCCUAGAAGCAUCUGGCCACAGACCAUCCAGGAGUCAUCCUGGGCAGGAAGACUGCAGCAGGAACACCUGCUGUGUAAUUUACAGAUGGACAAAUACCUCAGUGAACUGUCUGAAAGCACAGCACUCAGGGCAGCAGGCCCAGGUGACUGAAGCCCACUUUUCCACAGCUGGCUCCAUCCUGUUAGACAACCCUGGCUCGGUCAUCUUUAGUGACCCUUCAAAGGCUUCAGAUCAUGGUCUCCAGUUGCUCCCCAUGGUCUAUUCAUGCUCUUUUCAAGCAAUGAUCCUCAGGCCAUCAUGGCCACUACCCGUCCUUAUCCUGCUCCACAUGGGUAGUUCCUCAGACCCAGCCUCACCCAACUUCCCUCAGGUCUGUGCCCCUGUGCUCACAGCUCUAUGAUCCUGGACCUUUGCAAAGCCCCCACGAUGUUCUCACAUCGAUUGCUGUGACACUGAGCCUCCCUGACCUUUUGGCUCCAGCAAGCCAUGGUACUGUCAACACUAGCUCAUCAGUGACCCUCAGCACCUAGAACAGACCCUCAAAUGCUUGUAGAAUGGAUGGGUCAAUCAUAUCCACUUUCAGGAAGAAAACCAAGCACAGAGGGCAGUAGAUUUCCCAGAAUCUCUGGGGCCUAGGUGCAUAGGACUAAAAUCACCCUGGAGGUCCCCCUUCCCAUCUAAUCCCCUCCCUUGAAGACAGCAAGUGUCCCAGCACUGUGUGCACAUCUGGGAUGAAGGCCACCUACUCCGUGCCCCAGCAACUCUGCCUGUGCCAAGCUGACACCUGCCUCUUCCAGCAUGUCCUGCGUGAUCCAAAGACCACACUGUCCUGGGCAAGAGUGUGAUGUGAGGGAAGAGAAUCCACAGAAGAGAGAGACUGAGUUGAUAGAGUCAGCUGAGUACACCGGCUAUUUCCACCCCUAAAGAAAGGACUGGGAUGGAGUCUCAGUGCAGUGGCUCGGUGUCAGAGGCUCUCCUGGGACCUGGCAUUUUGGAGAGAGAAGAAUUGCUCUCCUAACAGCCCUUAAAAGUGGAGAACACUCUUUCUACUAUCCUGUAUGAAGUAUCUAGCAGGACCUAGGGCUGCGAGGCCCUUUAGAUAGCGUCAUCAUUAAUCUUUCAAGGACUGAAAGAGGUAGGGAAAACUGUUCCUGUUUAAUAGAUAAGCCGACUAAGACCAGGAAAUUGACAAUCACCUAGACUCAUUUUCUUGAAGGGUAGGUUAGAAUUCAAUCUGUCUUUCUGGCCCUGAUGACAGUGUUUGAACCUGUCCUGGCCUCUGAUCUGCCUGCAGCCCUCCCCAGUCCGGCCCUCACUGGAGGACCUGCCAACAUUAUCCAAGGCAGACAAUGUGGACUACCCAGGCCUCUCCAGAGGUUUUCAUCCUAUUCAAAAGCCAACAUGGCCUCCAACCCUUAUGCCUUCAGCUCUUCAAUUCAUUUCAGAAAUUCUCCCUUCCCAGUGGUCAAGGGCCAACACGAUCCCUAUUGGGUUAAAGAGUAGGUGACAUGGGCAGGCCUGGAGGAUAGAGGCAGCCAAGGCAUCAGAGGCCAGAAGAGCAGUUUUCCGAGUCAGAGGCAGGCUUAUCAUCAAUGCCUGUCACAGCCAUCACCUACUGUGUGCUGGCCAGGGCUGCCUUGGGUUGGGCACUUUUCCUGCACUCCUGACUUCCAGAAUCUUCCCACCUGUUAUUGGAGACGUGCUUUUUAAGAUCCUUGUUUCACAGAGCAGGAAGCCACAUCUCUGUGUGGGAAUAUGACCUGCCCAGAGCAUGGGUCCCAAGUGCUAUGAUGACAGAGAUGAUAAACUUGGACUUCCUUGUGUUAGACUCGGUAUAAUAGUGAAGACAGCACAAGACUUGACCUCACUUCUCCAGCCAGCCUGAGGCCAGGCCUCCCAGACUAAGGUCCUCGCCCCCAGGGAUUUCCGGGUGGGAACAGAACCCAUGGCUGCAGGCAGAUGUCUGGUCGUCACUAGGGACUGUCACCCCAUCUGUGUACAGAAGGCUAUCACAGUAGACUUGCUGCCCAUCAUCCUGGGAUUCUUCUGUGAGAUUCAAAUAGAAAUCAUAAAUCCACAAAGUGCAGUACUGCUAACAUUCCUGACAUCACCAGAUGGCACCAGGUAACGCUGGAUGCCGACAGCUGACACAGCCAGCUGCUGACCUCUGCCAUGGCCGGCUGCUACCAUCAAGGGCCAGCUUCUGCUGGACAGCGUAGGUUGGCUCUACCAGGUUCUGACCUCUGCCACUGGUCUUUGUUGGCUGCUGGUCUCUGGAGCUCUUCAGUGUUAACAGCUCUGAAUGUUUAUUGCUUUUUUUUUAAGCAAGCAUUUUGUUCACACUACUCAGGUUUAAAAAAAAAAAAUCCCAAAUAGAUUUACAGGAUUUUUGGAGCCCGUACUACCAAAGAUAUAAAUCAUGAGCAGGUUUACAGGAACACCAAAGUGAACUUAAGUAAACUUAACAAGGCCUGUGCUGUAGCACGGUGGGGUCAGUACACAGGAGGGAGCCCUCCUAGACUAACACCCAAGAAGUGGCUGGGGACUGCUACUUACUCAGCAGCUGCAGGCUUGUUUCACUGAGGGGCAGGGCUGAAAGUUUGCUAGGAAUGGUGGAUAUGGAAAUAAAGGACCUCAGUCCCUCCUUUCCCCACCUCAGCUGCUCCAGGGUGCCCUCUUCCUUCUCCAAAAAGGCAAAUAUAUGCUCUGAAGUAGCAGGAAUUGGGAAAGGGUACCAUGCUGACUGGCCAUGCUCAUGUUAGAGUGGAGAGUGGAGGUUUGAUAACUAGGGAGGAACCUGAAGCAAGUUGCCCCAUCCCAUUCAUGGGGCGAGAGGAUGCAAAGGAAGGCCAGGGGCAGGGGGCAUGACCACUACCAGUCAAGCUACAUCCCCCUCCAGCCAGCGUGGAAAAAAAAAAGGGAAACUUGAGAGUUUCUCUUCUAUCUCAAUCUGAGCAUCACAAAAGCCAUCUGGGCAGUGCUCUUCCCCCCAUUUUAUAGCGAAGGAGACAGAGGCCAAGAGAGAAAAAGAGGCAGUCCAGUCCCACCCAGAAUCUCUUCCUCCUCAGUAGCCCUCCCAAAUGAAAGAAAAAGGUUGUCAGCUUAGGGGUCUGGACAAGUUUAUAAGUCAUAGUAAGGAGUUUGGGGCUCUGGCUUUGGACCCAAGAUUUUAUGCCUGGUUCUGUCACUUACUCACUGAGCAAUCUAAAAUGGAUCACUUUGUGACCAUAGGUCUCAAUUUCCCUUUCUUUUCCUCAUCUGCUACUUGGGCAGUCUGUUCUGGAUGCGAACAAAUCCAGUGGGUUAGACCAACGCGGAACCUUUUGUACGGCAGCUUCUGCUAUCACCAGGAUUCAUUAGGGGAGGGACCCGGAUCCAGAGGAACCUAUGGUCCUUGGCCGCCAGCGGCUCUUUCUCAGCAUUUGGAGACUGCAUGGGGAUGUCACACACCAGCUACCCUUCAGCAGCCAAGGAACCAAAGGCAGAAAAGGGCUUUGUCCCUGGGGAGGGGGAGGCCCGGGAAAGCAUCCUAGGGAUGUGGUGAGACUUGAGACCUGCCCCAAAUAUGGUGCCUCCAAUAUGAAUAUACCUGUCAGCCCCCCAGGCCCUGAUGAGACUGCUUCCUGCCACUCCAAUUCUCUCCUAGGCUGUGUCCCUGUUUCUUUGAACUGCUUAUCUCAACACUGUGACUCUAGAAUUAAAGCCAUCAUCUUCAGCAUCA